CCUACGGGCAGCAGCAGUGGGGAAUAUUGCACAAUGGGGGAAACUCUGAUGCAGCGACGCCGCGUGAGUGAAGAAGUAUCUCGGUACGUAAAGCUCUAUCAGCAGGGAAGAAAAUGACGGUACCUGCCUACGAAUCCCCGGCUAACUACUUCCCAGCAGCAGCGGUAAUACGUAGGGGGCAGGCGUUAUCCGGAUUUACUGGUGGUAAAGGGAGCGUCGACGGAGGUGCAACUCUGAAGUGAAAGGCGGGGGCCCAACCCCCGGAUUGCUUUGGAAACUGGUUGGCUGGAGUGCAGGAGAGGUAAGUGGAAUUCCUAGUGUAGCGGUGAAAUGCGUAGAGAUUAGGAGGAACACCAGUGGCGAAGGCGGCUUACUGGACUGUAACUGACGUUGAGGCUCGAAAGUGUGGGUAUCAAACAGGAUUAGAUACCCUUGUAGUC
rnacentral:rRNA from 1 species